CCGAGUUAUACAACUCAUCAACCCCUGUGAACAUACCUAUACUGUUGCUUCGGCGGAUCAGACCGGCCCUGUAACAACGGGCCGGCCCCGCCAGAGGAUCCCCUAAACUCUGUUUUUAUAAUUUUUCUGAGUAACAAAGCAAAUAAAUUA
rnacentral:misc_RNA from 1 species